AGCAUAUCAAUAAGCGGAGGAAAAGAAACCAACAGGGAUUGCCCCAGUAACGGCGAGUGAAGCGGCAACAGCUCAAAUUUGAAAUCUGGUCCCCAGGGCCCGAGUUGUAAUUUGCAGAGGAUGCUUUUGGUGAGGUGCCUUCCGAGUUCCCUGGAACGGGACGCCAUAGAGGGUGAGAGCCCCGUCUGGUUGGAUACCGAGCCUCUGUAAAGCUCCUUCGACGAGUCGAGUAGUUUGGGAAUGCUGCUCUAAAUGGGAGGUAUAUGUCUUCUAAAGCUAAAUAUUGGCCAGAGACCGAUAGCGCACAAGUAGAGUGAUCGAAAGAUGAAAAGCACUUUGAAAAGAGGGUUAAAUAGUACGUGAAAUUGUUGAAAGGGAAGCACUUAUGACCAGACUUGGCCCCGGUGAAUCAUCCAGCGGUUCCCGCUGGUGCACUUUGCCGGGGUUCAGGCCAGCAUCAGUUCGCUCCGGGGGAUAAAGGCUUUGGGAAUGUGGCUCCCUCGGGAGUGUUAUAGCCCAUUGCGUAAUACCCUGUGGCGGGCUGAGGUUCGCGCUUUAUGCAAGGAUGCUGGCAUAAUGGUCAUCAGUGACCCGUCUUGAAACACGGACCAAGGAGUCGUCUUCGUAUGCGAGUGUUCGGGUGUUAAACCCCUACGCGUAAUGAAAGUGAACGCAGGUGAGAGCCCUCCAGGGCGCAUCAUCGACCGAUCCUGAUGUUCUCGGAUGGAUUUGAGUAAGAGCAUACGGGGCCGGACCCGAAAGAAGGUGAACUAUGCCUGUAUAGGGUGAAGCCAGAGGAAACUCUGGUGGAGGCUCGCAGCGGUUCUGACGUGCAAAUCGAUCGUCAAAUAUGGGCAUGGGGGCGAAAGACUAAUCGAACCUUCUAGUAGCUGGUUUCCGCC
rnacentral:rRNA from 1 species